rnacentral:piRNA from 1 species
AAAGACAGCUGUCUGGCAUGGACG